rnacentral:rRNA from 1 species
GGAGGGUGCAAGCGUUAAUCGGAAUUACUGGGCGUAAAGCGCACGCAGGCGGUUUGUUAAGUCAGAUGUGAAAUCCCCGGGCUCAACCUGGGAACUGCAUCUGAUACUGGCAAGCUUGAGUCUCGUAGAGGGGGGUAGAAUUCCAGGUGUAGCGGUGAAAUGCGUAGAGAUCUGGAGGAAUACCGGUGGCGAAGGCGGCCCCCUGGACGAAGACUGACGCUCAGGUGCGAAAGCGUGGGGAGCAAACAGGAUUAGAUACCCUGGUAGUCCACGCCGUAAACGAUGUCGACUUGGAGGUUGUGCCCUUGAGGCGUGGCUUCCGGAGCUAACGCGUUAAGUCGAC